ACUGGCUACUAUGAUACAUACCAUUUAUCUAUUUAUCUAUCUAUAUAUAUUAUAUUAUAUUUAUUAUUUAUUUUACUCUACCCUAUAUUUCAACAAAUACUUUCACUCAUCACUUAUCACUCAUUCUUUCAUUCCUCACUCAUCACUCAACGGUCCAGAUUGCCUCUCUGAAAUCUCAACGAUUGAGAUUGCUCCCACCUCCCACCUCCCUCGAUUGCGCGCUCCUCUCCGCCCCCUCUCUAUCGCUCUCACGCGCUGCCGCCCCUCGCCAACCACGACCUACGCCCUCAUCUCUCCUCUCACGCGGCACCACCGUCGUCGCCGCCGCCUUCGACUGCCGCCGCUCCGCCGUCGUCGCAUCCGUCGUCUCGCCGCCACCGAUCCCCGCGCCACCGCCGUCGCCGCCGCCCUCGACUACCGCCACUCUGCCGUCGUCGCAUCCGUCGUCUCGCCGCCACCGAUUCACGUCGCCGCCGAUGCCUUCCUCGCCUGGUCGCUGCCGAGACCUUCCGUGCAGAUCUGCUCCUCGUCGCCACCGAUCCCCGCCGCCGGCUUGCCUCAACCGAUCCCCAUCGCCGCCGUCGCUCCACCGGCUCGCCCUCGCCAGCGUCUCCCCGUAGCCCCGAUCCACGCCGCCGCAGCCGCAUCACCGUCUGUUUCCGCCAUAGGGGCGUGAUUCCGCGCGACGGCUGGAGGAGGCGAUGUUGGGCCUGCCCUCCAUCGAUGGCAGAUUCCGCGUGACGGCUGGAGGAGGCGAGGUCGGGCCUGCCCUCCAACGACGCUCCACGUCGCCGCAGCCCGCAGCCCCGUCGGCGCCGUCGCUGUGUCGCUCCAUCACCGUCCCGACCUCGAAGGCGAACCGGCUUCGGUCCCUCGCGCCGCCACUGAUCCAGGGCUCCUCAACCCUGCAAGCCGUCAUCCUGCCUGCGAACAAGGACAAAAAUUCAGGUUGUCGAAGAAAAAUUCAGGCUGACAGGACACCAUGUCAACUGCUAUUGUUUGCUGCACAAUCAAGGAAAUUUUUGGCUGAUUCUACUAAAUUUCUGUUUGGUAUAGGUAAUUUCUUUCAUAAUGAUUACCCCU
rnacentral:lncRNA from 1 species